CUAUAAUUGUCAGCUAAGUGGCGCACGGGUGAGUAAUGUAUAGAUAACCUGCCCUUAAGAAAGGAAUAACAGUUGGAAACGACUGCUAAUGCCCUAUAUGCCUUUAAUACAUAAGUAUGCAAGGGAAACGCUUUAGUGCUUAAGGAUGGGUCUGUAUGGUAUCAGCUUGUUGGUGAGGUAAUAGCUCACCAAGGCUAUGACGCCUAACUGGUUUGAGAGGAUGAUCAGUCACACUGGAACUGAGACACGGUCCAGACUCCUACGGGAGGCAGCAGUGGGGAAUAUUGCACAAUGGACGAAAGUCUGAUGCAGCAACGCCGCGUGGAGGAUGACACAUUUCGGUGCGUAAACUCCUUUUAUAUAGGAAGAUAAUGACGGUACUAUAUGAAUAAGCACCGGCUAACUCCGUGCCAGCAGCCGCGGUAAUACGGAGGGUGCAAGCGUUACUCGGAAUCACUGGGCGUAAAGAGCGUGUAGGCGGGUAUAUAAGUCAGAAGUGAAAUCCAAUAGCUCAACUAUUGAACUGCUUUUGAAACUGUAUACCUAGAAUGUGGGAGAGGUAGAUGGAAUUUCUGGUGUAGGGGUAAAAUCCGUAGAGAUCAGAAGGAAUACCGAUUGCGAAGGCGAUCUACUGGAACAUUAUUGACGCUGAGACGCGAAAGCGUGGGGAGCAAACAGGAUUAGAUACCCUGGUAGUCCACGCCCUAAACGAUGUACACUAGUUGUUGUGAGGCUCGACCUUGCAGUAAUGCAGUUAACACAUUAAGUGUACCGCCUGGGGAGUACGGUCGCAAGAUUAAA
rnacentral:rRNA from 1 species